GAUGAACGCUGGCGGCGUGCCUAAUACAUGCAAGUCGAGCGAACGGACGAGAAGCUUGCUUCUCUGAUGUUAGCGGCGGACGGGUGAGUAACACGUGGAUAACCUACCUAUAAGACUGGGAUAACUUCGGGAAACCGGAGCUAAUACCGGAUAAUAUUUUGAACCGCGGGGUUCAAAAGUGAAAGACGGUCUUGCUGUCACUUAUAGAUGGAUCCGCGCUGCAUUAGCUAGUUGGUAAGGUAACGGCUUACCAAGGCAACGAUGCAUAGCCGACCUGAGAGGGUGAUCGGCCACACUGGAACUGAGACACGGUCCAGACUCCUACGGGAGGCAGCAGUAGGGAAUCUUCCGCAAUGGGCGAAAGCCUGACGGAGCAACGCCGCGUGAGUGAUGAAGGUCUUCGGAUCGUAAAACUCUGUUAUUAGGGAAGAACAUAUGUGUAAGUAACUGUGCACAUCUUGACGGUACCUAAUCAGAAAGCCACGGCUAACUACGUG
rnacentral:rRNA from 1 species